rnacentral:tRNA from 1 species
GUCAGGMUGGCCGAGCGGUCUAAGGCRCCAGACUCAAGUUCUGGUCUCCGAAUGGAGGCGUGGGUUCGAAUCCCACUUCUGACA